GAUCCUGGCUCAGGAUGAACGCUAGCGGGAGGCCUAACACAUGCAAGCCGAGCGGUUAUUGUUUCUUCGGAAAUGAGAGAGCGGCGUACGGGUGCGGAACACGUGUGCAACCUGCCUUUAUCUGGGGGAUAGCCUUUCGAAAAGGAAGAUUAAUACUCCAUAAUAUAUUGAACGGCAUCGUUUAAUAUUGAAAGCUCCGGCGGAUAGAGAUGGGCACGCGCAAGAUUAGCUAGUUGGUGAGGUAACGGCUCACCAAGGCAAUGAUCUUUAGGGGGCCUGAGAGGGUGAUCCCCCACACUGGUACUGAGACACGGACCAGACUCCUACGGGAGGCAGCAGUGAGGAAUAUUGGUCAAUGGGUGCAAGCCUGAACCAGCCAUCCCGCGUGAAGGACGACUGCCCUAUGGGUUGUAAACUUCUUUUGUAUAGGGAUAAACCUUUCCACGUGUGGAAAGCUGAAGGUACUAUACGAAUAAGCACCGGCUAACUCCGUG
rnacentral:rRNA from 1 species